GUCCUCUUGAUUAUAUUUUGAGGUCUGGCCUGCUCACUGACAAGUUUUUAAAGAGCCGCGGUAUUUUGACCGUGCAAAGGUAGCAUAAUCAUUAGUCUCUUAAUUAGGGGCUGGAAUGAAUGGCUUGACGAGAAAUUAACUGUCUCUUAUUAAAUUAUAGAAUUUAACUUUUGAGUUAAAAGGCUUAAAUUUUUCUUAAAGACGAGAAGACCCUAUAGAGCUUGACAUUUUAUUUUUAUAUAAUUUUUAGAUAAUCUUUUUAUAUUUAAAGAUAAUGUUUUGUUGGGGUGACAUGAAGAAUAAAUAAACUCUUCAUUAUAAAAUCAUUGAUUUAUGUUUAUUUUGAUCCAUAAUUUAUGAUCAUAAGAUUAAGUUACCUUAGGGAUAACAGCGUAAUUGUUUUUGAGAGCUCAUAUUGACAAAGCAGAUUGCGACCUCGAUGUUGGAUUAAGAAUAAUUUUGGGUGCAGGAGCCCAAUAAUUAGUCUGUUCGACCUUUAAU
rnacentral:rRNA from 1 species